rnacentral:rRNA from 1 species
GAUGAACGCUGGCGGCGUGCUUAACACAUGCAAGUCGAGCGGACGGACGCGGAGCUUGUUUCUCUGUGGUUAGGGGCGGCGGGGUGAGUAACACGAGGAUAAUCUCCUUACCUGUCUGUGAUAAUUUCGUGAAACCGUAGCUAAUACUGGAUAAUAUUCUGAACCGUAUGGUUCACAGGUGAAAGACGGCUUUGCUGUCACUUAUAGCUGGGUCGGCGCUGGAUUAGCUAGUUGGUAAGGUAGCGGCUUACCAAGGCACGGAGGCACAGACGACCUGAGAGGGGGGUCGGCGACACUAGAGCGGAGACACGGACCAGACUACUACGGGAGGCAGCAGUCGGGAAUCUGCCGCAAUGGGCGAGAGCCUGACGGAGCAACGCCGCGUGAGUGAUGAAGGUCUUCGGAUCGUAAAACACUGUUAUUAGGGAAGAACAUAUGUGUAAGUAAAUGUGCACAGCUUGACGGUACCUAAUCAGAAAGCCACGGCUAACUACGUG